UAGCUUAAUAAAAGCAUCUCGCUUACACCGAGAAGAUACCCGUUAGCCUGGGUUACUUUGA
rnacentral:tRNA from 1 species